ACGAACGCUGGCGGCGUGCCUAAUACUUGCCAGUAGAACGCUGAAGAGAGGAGCUUGCUCUUCUUGGAUGAGUUGCGAACGGGUGAGUAACGCGUAGGUAACCUGCCUUGUAGCGGGGGAUAACUAUUGGAAACGAUAGCUAAUACCGCAUAACAAUGGAUGACACAUGUCAUUUAUUUGAAAGGGGCAAUUGCUCCACUACAAGAUGGACCUGCGUUGUAUUAGCUAGUAGGUGAGGUAAUGGCUCACCUAGGCGACGAUACAUAGCCGACCUGAGAGGGUGAUAGGCCACACUGGGACUGAGACACGGCCCAGACUCCUACGGGAGGCAGCAGUAGGGAAUCUUCGGCAAUGGGGGCAACCCUGACCGAGCAACGCCGCGUGAGUGAAGAAGGUUUUCGGAUCGUAAAGCUCUGUUGUAAGUCAAGAACGGGUGUGAGAGUGGAAAGUUCACACUGUGACGGUAGCUUACCAGAAAGGGACGGCUAACUACGUG
rnacentral:rRNA from 1 species